GCUCUAAUUUCCACAGGGCCCGCAAAGUCUCUCCAUCCCUCUAAACACAAUCUCCUCUCUUCCUCUCUCACAAAACCACAGACACUUGCAGAAUUGCCACAACUAUAGGCAAGCACGCACACACUUUUAAAACAUUGUGCACUCAUGAAAGCAUGCAUAAAAUCUCUCUUUGCUUUCAAUUCAAAACUUCAUCUAACUUUAUCUAAAUGCACUCUCUUUGGUUUUCCUCUUACUUUGACACAUUUAAACCACCGCACACACAGGCUGUCAAAUCACACUGACACUUUCUUAUUCCUACAUACACACUCACAGCUACCAGACUGGGGGUUGGUUUGGAAGAAGCUCCAUCCAUUUGUGCAUGACAGCAGAGGACUGAAAAUUUCAAGAGGCAGAAAAGUAUAAUAUUAUAACUCAAAAGGCGAGCACUGAAGCAGCCACUCCUCGAAGGCAUUACCAGGAAUAUUGACGAGCAAGCAGCCUGACUGCAUGGGAUCAGGAGGUGGCAGAAGGAAGAGGGAGGAAAACAUGCGACAACUCACUUGCAUCAUUGCUACUAGUGACAUGCAACAAUACUUCAGGUGCGUGGCGGUGAGAAGAAAAACAGGCAUGCAGACAGCUCUGACAAGCAAUUACACCGCAGCUUGUUUGGGAGGCAGGUCGGGAUGAGCUCUGCUGUGUUGGAGGGGCAGACAAUUGAAUACUCCGGAGACGGAGAAGAAAAUGACCGGAGGGAGAACACUGCUGACUAAGGAGAGCCCCCCGCAAGGAAAUCCUGCAUCAGUGCCGGCCAGAUUACCGAUCAGAGCGUGACCGAUGUCAGAAAGCGCAGAGCGGAGUAAUGCGCCCUAAUGGUGAGACAAGCCGGGGACUCUUUAAUGGUAAUGAAUACACAAUGUGAGCCCAAGGCAGGAUGAGAGGGAGGGUGGGGAGUCGUGACCAGACUGGUGAGGAGGAGAGGGAUAACCACAGUGUGUGGGAAAGGAGAGGAAGGUGUAGAGUCGACUGUGAGUGUUCAGGUGGGUUGACAAAAUAACAUCAACACCUGACAGAGUGAAUCAAACAUUCUUCUGACUGCAACUCACCUCAAGAUCCAGGAAAUGACUCUUCUUCUUUUUUCUUUUUUGUUCUUUUUUUUGGGAAGAUUUCAUUCUUGGCUGAUGAAAAUAUUUGACAAAUCAUUUGUGCAUCCACAUUUUUAAAACAAACAUGUUCCAGAGCUGUGUCUGUGGAGGUUCUCAGUUAUCCAGGUCAUAUUUACUCAAAAGAGUUAAAGCGAGGCGUCUGGACUUGUGAAGAUAGGCUUGAAGACGUUUCGCUGCUCAUCCAAGCAGCUUCAUCAGUUCUGUUCCAGAGCUGCUAAGGCAUUGACUAUAAUGUGGCACUGAUUUGUCAGUAUGUUAAUUUUACCAACACUAAUAGCAACUAGACUUAAUAAUUGCUCUCGGACAUGCCAAUGCGUUGCACUUUUC